UACAGAGGGGCAAGCGUUAUUCGGAAUUAUUGGGUACGGUAAAGGGCGCGUAUGGCGGCUUUGCAAAGUGGCGGGUGAAAUACCCUCGGGCUUAAACCGACGGAACUGCUUGUUCAAACUGCAUGGCUUGAGACCAGGGAGAGGGUGGAGUGGAAUUCCCAGUGUAGCGGUGAAAUACGUAGAGAUUGGGAAGAACACCAGUGGCGAAGGCGGCUAUCUGGACGGUUUCUGACGCUAAGACGCGAAAGCGUGGGGAGCAAACAGGG
rnacentral:rRNA from 1 species